AGCGAACGCUGGCGGCAGGCCUAACACAUGCAAGUCGAACGAACCUUUCGGGGUUAGUGGCGGACGGGUGAGUAACACGUGGGAACGUGCCUUUAGGUUCGGGAUAACUCAGGGAAACUUGUGCUAAUACCGAAUGUGCCCUUCGGGGGAAAGAUUUAUCGCCUUUAGAGCGGCCCGCGUCUGAUUAGCUAGUUGGUUGAGGUAAUGGCUCACCAAGGCGACGAUCAGUAGCUGGUCUGAGAGGAUGAUCAGCCACAUUGGGACUGAGACACGGCCCAAACUCCUACGGGAGGCAGCAGUGGGGAAUCUUGCGCAAUGGGCGAAAGCCUGACGCAGCCAUGCCGCGUGAAUGAUGAAGGUCUUAGGAUUGUAAAAUUCUUUCACCGGGGACGAUAAUGACGGUACCCGGAGAAGAAGCCCCGGCUAACUUCGUG
rnacentral:rRNA from 1 species